GGUUGGGAAAGCAGCUCUAAAUGGGAGGAAAAUUUCUUCUAAAGCUAAAUAUUGGCGAGAGACCGAUAGCGCACAAGUAGAGUGAUCGAAAGAUGAAAAGCACUUUGGAAAGAGAGUUAAAAAGCACGUGAAAUUGUUGAAAGGGAAGCGCUUGCAAUCAGACUUGUUUAAACUGUUCGGCCGGUCUUCUGACCGGUUUACUCAGUUUGGACAGGCCAGCAUCAGUUUCGGCGGCCGGAUAAAGGCUCUGGGAAUGUGGCCUCCACUUCGGUGGAGGUGUUAUAGCCCAGUGUGUAAUACGGCCAGCCGGGACUGAGGUCCGCGCUCGGCUAGGAUGC
rnacentral:rRNA from 1 species